rnacentral:rRNA from 1 species
AUUGAACGCUGGCGGCAUGCCUAACACAUGCAAGUCGAACGGCAGCACAAUAAAGAUUUCGGUCUUUAUGGGUGGCGAGUGGCGGACGGGUGAGUAACGCGUAGGAAUCUGUCCUGGAGAGUGGGAUAACCCGAGGAAACUCGGGCUAAUACUGCAUGACAUUGAGAGAUCAAAAGCAGGGGACCGAAAGGCCUUGCGCUCUGGGGUGAGCCUACGUCGGAUUAGCUAGUUGGUGGGUAAAGGCCUACCAAGGCGACGAUCCGUAGCUGGUCUGAAGGGAUGACCAGCCACACUGGGACUGAGACACGGCCCAGACUCCUACGGGAGGCAGCAGUGGGGAAUCUUGGACAAUGGGGGAAACCCUGAUCCAGCGAUGCCGCGUGUGUGAAGAAGGCCUUCGGGUUGUAAAGCACUUUAGGUGGGGAAGAAAGGUAGCGAGUGAAUAACUUUCUGCUGUGACGGUACCCACAGAAUAAGCACCGGCUAACUCUGUGCCAGCAGCCGCGGUAA